AUCGAACGCUGGCGGCAUGAUUUACACAUGCAAGUCGAACGGUAACAGGCCGCAAGGUGCUGACGAGUGGCGAACGGGUGAGUAAUGCAUCGGAACGUGCCCAGUCGUGGGGGAUAACUACUCGAAAGAGUAGCUAAUACCGCAUACGAUCUAUGGAUGAAAGCGGGGGACCGUAAGGCCUCGCGCGAUUGGAGCGGCCGACGUCAGGUUAGGUAGUUGGUGGGGUAAAGGCUCACCAAGCCAACGAUCUGUAGCUGGUCUGAGAGGACGACCAGCCACACAGGGACUGAGACACGGCCAGGACUCCUACGGGAGGCAGCAGUGGGGAAUAGUGAACAAUGGGCGCAAGCGUAAUCCAGCAAUGACGCGGGCAGGAAGAAGGCCUGCGGGUGGUAAACUGCUUUGGUGCGGAAAGAAAGGGCUCUGGUUAAUACCCGGGGCUAAUGACGGUACUGGAAGAAUAAGCACCGGCUAACUACGUG
rnacentral:rRNA from 1 species